AAUUUGAAUGCACAUCGACAUCCUUUGAGGAGUUAGCUAGCACUACAUUUGGUGUUGAUACUGCACAAGAUACUGCUAGAGGAGAUACUGCUAGAGGAUCUGAUGAGCAUAUGGUGGAUCUGGACCACGUCCCGGGGACAAGAGAGAUACUGCUAGAGGAUCUGAUGAGCAUAUG